UACGAAGGGGCUAGCGUUGCUCGGAAUCACUGGGCGUAAAGGGUGCGUAGGCGGGUCUUUAAGUCAGGGGUGAAAUCCUGGAGCUCAACUCCAGAACUGCCUUUGAUACUGAGGAUCUUGAGUAUGGGAGAGGUGAGUGGAACUGCGAGUGUAGAGGUGAAAAUUCGUAGAUAUUCGCAAGAACACCAGUGGCGAAGGCGGCUCACUGGCCCAUUACUGACGCUGAGGCACGAAAGCGUGGGGAGCAACAGGG
rnacentral:rRNA from 1 species